GACAGUAGCCUCCUCCUCACUCUGACCACCUGACAAGAACAUAGCAGCUGGGACAGCUGGUGGCAUGGUUCGUUGCAGGGCACGGACUGUGUACUCUGCCACUACUUCGGGAAAUAUUUUCAUUCAGAGAAGCUACUGCCAGAAAGACGGAAAGAAAUAACUGAUUAUGAACGCAUAUAAGCACCGUGCACAAAAUUGGCAGAUCAGACAAAUUAUACUCCAAUUGCUAUGUCAAGGAAAAAUUCUGAGAAUAGGUCGAUUGAGCCACACCGAGAUGUCUAUUAGACUUGCUUUAACGGAGUUCGAGCUUGCUUCAACCAAAUCCGAGCUCUUUCUUAUGAAGGAUGAAGUCCCUGAGUUGUGACAAAUGGUGAGGUCAAUUGUAUCCGGCUGGUAAGUUCCAAGUUUUUCAUCUUCAUUAACUGUUCAAGACCAAAGUUUGGAGACUCAAGAUCGUUAAACAUGCUAUGAUGAUUUUGGAUGUUUUUUUGUUGAUAAAUUUAGACGAUAUAUGAACU